AGAGCCCCGCCUGUCCUCGGCCUACCGCGGCGAGCAGGCAUUCCGGGUCAGACCGGCGCGGGGCGCUGCGGCCCAACUCCUUAGUAGGACGACGUGACUCGAGGGGCCGGAGGACGGAGGUGGGAGCCCGGGCUAGAGGGUGGAGGCUGGGGAGGUUGCCUGGUCACUCUGGCGCUCCGCUGCCGGGGGCAUCCUCCGGCCCAGCAAAGGUGCAGCCUGGGAAGAAGGCGUCAGCACCACCCAGAGAAGAGGAGAGGGGACUUGGCACGCCUCAGGAAGGAAAAAAGGAAGGCUCUCGGGACCACCCAAUAAGCAACCGGGAAACCACAUACCAUGGACAGUGCUCGGGGAAUUUCGUAAGGUUUUUGGAAGUAACUUUAUGUGUAACUAGAGUAAGAGUAGCUUACAUUUAAGUGCUAGGAGCAGGACUUUGCUUACCUUAGGUUCAGUUUUCUUAAUAGCUCUGAGGUGGAUAUUUUUAUUCAUCAUUUUCAGAUGAGAUGAGGAAAUCGAGCUUGGGGAAAGUUAGGCUUAUCUUGCCCCUGGCACACAGACAGGGUGGCAGACCAUGCCAUAGAUCUGGUCUGCCACAGGCCCCGGUAGUUCCUGCCUGUCACCCCUCCAGUUGUAUUUUAUUGUUUAUUAACUCCUGCCAGCUACCCUAGCAGGGAAGAGGAAAAAAUUAAAAGUGCAAAGAGCUCCGUAGUUUUGUUCAAAUGGAGGAAGCUGGCAUUGGAAGCUGGCAUUGGCAGCAGCUGCUGAGGCCUGAGAAGGUCCAUGAAGGCUUCCCUGAGAAGAGAAACUUGAUCUGAGCUUGAAGAAUAGAGAGCCUGGGAAGGAGAGGGGCCCAUUUAGCUGGGCUCCUCCUCAUCCCUGGAGGUUCCAGGGAUCUGGCAGAGAAAGAAGCCCAGUCUCACAGCAAUGACUCCUGAACAUCCUUUGCAAACACUAUUUAGGACAGAUGGACUGAAGUAGGCCCUGGGGAGAGUUGGGGGCAUUUCCGGAGGCCAGACCAAAGGUGAUCUCCAGGAGAUUUGGAUGUUAGUGCAGGAUAGCUCAGAGCCAAGUGGCAGAUAAGUCUUUGGGAGCCAGAAGGGCUCUUUCUUCUCUAAGGAACAAGUGUAGACCUAUAGGGGCAAGAACCUGUGGCAACCCUGGGAGAGGUCUGCAGAUUCAGGAGGGAACAUCCCAAAACUCAGCAGAGGAGGAGAGGGAGCUUUUGUUGGUCACCUGGAACCACUACCAAUCCAUGUUCAUGUCAAAUUAAAUGAUCACUUUGAAGUUUUUCAGCCUACCAAAAUCAUGUGAAUUUGGUCUGCAAAACCAGACGACUGCCUGCUUGCAGUUAAGAAUUCUCAGCGGGAGGCCGGGCGCAGUGGCUCAUGCCACCAGCACUUUGGGAGGCUGAGGUGGGUGGAUCACGAGGUCAGGAGUUCGAGACCAGCCUGGCUAACACGGUGAAACCCUGUCUCUACUAAAAAUACAAAAGUUAGCCUGGUGUGGUGGCGGGCACCUGUAGUCCCGGCUACUUGGGAAGCUGAGGCAGGAGAAUCUCUUGGACCUGGAAGGUGGAGGUUGCAGUGAGCUGAGAUCGCGCCAUUGCACUCCAGCCUGGGCAACAGAGCGAGACUCUGUCUCAAAAAAAAAAAAAAAAGAAGAAGAAGAAAAAAAAGAAUUCUCAGGGGGAGAUUAUUCCCCUUUCUUAGUACCAAGGUUGGAUGUAGGCAGUUUUCUUUGUAGUCCCCUGGUUUGAGGGAGAGAGGUUAGGUCAGACAGGGGCAGGUUUCUUUCUAAUUCACCUUCACAGUGUAGGCAUACACUGGCCUUUGAGGUCCUGGCCUUAUGGAGAAGUUUCUAAAUAGACUCCCCAUGGUGAGGGGGCCCUGGGCUUUGUCUUUCUCAUAAGCCCAGAGACCCCUUGAAAACCAAUGAUCAGGUUCUCUGGGUUCGGCAACUGCCCUCAAGAUGAAAGCCAAUGACAGAGCUUUGCUUACCUUUGUAGCUUCUUGCUUUCAUUUACUUUUUUGGCCUCAGUGUGUUUCUUACAUUUUUGCUAGCUUAUGGAUGCAUUUAAUUUUAAAGAUAGAUAGAGUCUAGUAUUUAAAGUUGUUUUCAGGAGGAAGUUUAGCCCAAGUCCUUAGGCCACCAUGUUGCAAGAAAACCUAACGGGCAGUUUUCGGUUCUGAUGCAGCUUGAUUUUUGUGCUGCAUCUGGCCCUAUUGACCAGUCCCUCAGCUCUUCUGUUUGGUUUUGUUUUUCCCGACACUCUGACUACUCCUUUUUGGUUUCCUUCACUGGCCCAUCCCUGUUCCUCCACCUGUUCCUUAAAUGUUGGUCCUCCUUAGUCUCCGCUUCUUGUCUUAUGCCUCAUUAUCUCACCACUCCCCUGGCUUCAAGCUGUGACUCCUUGGAUUUCUCCAGCCCAGACUGUCCUGGGUUUCAAACCUGCAUAUUUAGCUGCCUCCUGGCCCUCUGAAGUUGCCACAGGCACCCAAAGUUGAACAUGUACAAAACUGAACUCACAUUUUCCCCACAUCUUACCCCUAUCACAUGCUAAAAUACUACAUCCCCUGUGUUCUGUACCAGUCCCCCAAGCUAGACACCUGGAAACCAUCUCUCAUCCAGCCCUCACCUCUCUUAUUGUCCCUCACAUCUCUUCUGUCCUUGCACAUUUGCUUCUGCCCUAACUCAAGGUACCUGUGCUUGUUGCCUGAACGGCUCUAACUAUGGCAGCUCUAGCUGGCACCCACCUUGCCUCUUCCAUCCAUACUAGACACAGUAGCAAGUGAUCCAUCUGAAACACAUCUCUAACCAAGCCCACUUAAAACCCUUUAGUGGCUCCUUUCAGAGCGAAGGCUGAGCUUCUCGGUAUAACAUUCAAAGCCCUUUGUGACCUCUCCAGUCUUUUGUCUUGAUGAGGACCCUCCCCAAGUCCACCUGAAGUUGCUGGCAAUCCUGGGAGCGCACCAGGCUGUUUCACACUUCCCUGUCUUUGUUCAUGCUACUUCCUCUGUUGAGAAGGCUCUGUGUCAUUCUGGAUGCCAUCAGGAGAGAGACAUCACACAGUCAGCAGGCAGGGAAAGUUCAACAUAAGCAUUUUGAAGUGUAACAGGGAAUUGAAGCUGUGAUGAACUGGCUAGUAAGAAGUAAAUAAAUAAAUAAAUAAACAAAUAAAAAUCUAAAGAAUAUAGGACUAGCAGAGUCUUCAGGCUGAGAUGGAGAGCCCAAGGAAGAGGCCCUCACCUCUCCACUCCAUUCCUGUCCAGGGCUGAGAACCACACCGUGCAGGACAGGACAUGGCCACAAUGAACAGUGUACAUUUAGAAGUGAGAGGAAAUAAAGGCAAUCAGCAAUAACCAGUUCGGGUUCCAUGCCUCUCAUCCACCCUAUAAUCCACCCUGUGCAAACAAACUCAUUUUUCAAGACUCAGUUCAAAUACCACCUUUUCCACAAAGACUUUUCCUCUUCUGCGUCUAUCCAGGAAAAAACUGAUUCCUCUUCCUUUGUGAUUGUAGAAUCUGCCCCCUCCUUGACACACAUACCUAUAACCUCAGUCAUACUUCUACUGGGGUACUUGUUUACCCCUACCUAGGGUUGCCAGAAAAAAAUCAGGACACUUAUUUAUUUUUUUUUUUUUUGAGAUGGAGUCUUGCUCUGUCACCCAGGCUAGAGUUCAGUGUCACGGCUCACUGCAACCUCUGCCUCCCAGGUUCAAGCAAUUCUUCUGCCUCCUGAGUAACUGGGACUACAGGUGUGCACCACCAUCCCCGGCUAAUUUUGUAUUUUUAGUAGAGACAGGGUUUCACCAUAUUGGCCAGGCUGGUCUCAAACUCUUGACCUCGUGAUCCGCCCACCUCGGCCUCCCAAAGUGCUGGGAUUACAGGCAUGAGCCACCGCACCUGGCCAUCUAUUUAAUUUUGAAUAUGAGAUAAACAACAAUUUUUUUUUUUUUGAGAUGGAGUCUCACUCUGUCGCCUAGGCUGGAGUGCAGUGGCACGAUCUCAGCUCACUGCAAGCUCUGCCUCCCAGGUUCACACCAUUCUCCUGAGUAGCUGGGACUACAGGCGCCCACCACCACGCC
rnacentral:lncRNA from 1 species